rnacentral:rRNA from 1 species
CCUACGGGAGGCAGCAGUGGGGAAUUUUGGACAAUGGGCGCAAGCCUGAUCCAGCAAUGCCGCGUGCAGGAUGAAGGCCUUCGGGUUGUAAACUGCUUUUGUACGGAACGAAACGGUCUGCUCUAAUACAGUGGGCUAAUGACGGUACCGUAAGAAUAAGCACCGGCUAACUACGUGCCAGCAGCCGCGGUAAUACGUAGGGUGCGAGCGUUAAUCGGAAUUACUGGGCGUAAAGCGUGCGCAGGCGGUUAUAUAAGACAGAUGUGAAAUCCCCGGGCUCAACCUGGGACCUGCAUUUGUGACUGUAUAGCUAGAGUGCGGCAGAGGGGGAUGGAAUUCCGCGUGUAGCAGUGAAAUGCGUAGAUAUGCGGAGGAACACCGAUGGCGAAGGCAAUCCCCUGGGCCUGCACUGACGCUCAUGCAUGAAAGCGUGGGGAGCAAACAGGAUUAGAUACCCUGGUAGUCCACGCCCUAAACGAUGUCAACUGGUUNUUGGGUCUUCACUGACUCAGUAACGAAGCUAACGCGUGAAGUUGCCGCCUGGGGNGACGCGCGAGUAGACGAGAGAGUAGAGNGNGAGAGNGCGACGGACGACGACGAGGGAGAGG